rnacentral:rRNA from 1 species
UACGGGGGGGGCAAGCGUUGUUCGGAAUUACUGGGCGUAAAGGGCUCGUAGGUGGCCAACUAAGUCAGACGUGAAAUCCCUCAGCUUAACUGGGGAACUGCGUCUGAUACUGGAUGGCUUGAGUUUGGGAGAGGGAUGCGGAAUUCCAGGUGUAGCGGUGAAAUGCGUAGAUAUCUGGAGGAACACCGGUGGCGAAGGCGGCAUCCUGGACCGACACUGACACUGAUGAGCGAAAGCCAGGGGAGCAAACGGG